UUAUUAACACUUGUUUUAUGUGUUUUGAGCAGUUUAGUUCGUUGGGGCAGAGCCAUGAAGGAGCCAUGCCUUCAGGUGAAAUUUGUCCAGGUCCAGAUGGAGGAUUUGGCUAUUGUUCUGAGAAAGAAGAUUGCGCAGUCGAGGGAGAGUGAAUGGUGUGCAAAUCGCCAUCCGUGUCAGAAACGGCUCCAGGAGAAGGAACCUGAAAUUUGAAAAGGAGAUGAUUAUGGGGUCAGAGGUGUGUCUUUUGCUGCGGCAAUCCAGGUUACAUGCCCUUUUGAGUGGCUGGUCCAGAGAGGAUAUCAGUCUACUACUUCUACCAGCUAAGUGAUGACCAAGAUUUCUUAAGCCAUCUAGUAUUCCUACUUUUCUUGUUGGUACCCAGAGAUUUAGAAAUGAAGCUCUCUUUACUGCAGCCAUCAAUACAGGUGCUGCCUCUCCUGAGCCGGUCACCAAGACUCGGAGGCAGACAGGGUAGCAACGCAUGGAUCCUUUGAGACUCUUGGCGACCGGGAUCCUGAAGUCUACGAGACAUGAAGAGUACUCGGAGGCCUGUGUGCAGAAGAGUUCUCAGAGCCUGGGUCAGAAGCUAGUCUUAGGGCUUACUCUCUCAUUUGAUCUCCCUGUUUUCCCAAGAUCUGCUUUUGAAGGAGGAGCAAAUUUUACACUUCUUGGGGGAGAUGGGUGUCUCCCAAAUAGCAGAGGAACCAAGAAUGGUGGUCAUUGAUUGGGAUAGCUUGCUGGCAGGAGAGACCUUAAAGCCUCGGGACCUUGCCAUACCCCAAAGCAGAAGUUCAGAAUCAACCCUCAGUCGGGAAAAUUGAACAAAAGGGGAACGACAAACUAUUAAACUAAAACUAUACUAGAAAUUGAGUAAAGUGGGCAUGGGUUGACGUUCUGCUUCAAGCCGAAGGCGGUUGAGAAGGAACAGAGGGCAGUUUGCCUGGGCAGCCCUAUACGUCGUUGGUAUGGGGCACAAGGAUGAGUAGGGCGCAUGCACGGGCCGAACAAGCACUGUUCCCAAAAAUCUCCCAUCAAAAGCACAUGGAUGGGCACACAGUCCUGAAGUGGAGCACCCCUAGGGACACCACUCAAAGAAGAAUACCAAGUGUGAUGGGGUGUCCACCCCACACAGGUAAAUUAGACCAAUUAACCUUAGGCUGCACCUGGAGGAAACAUAGGGAGUGCUAGGGCCUAAUUGCAGAUGAAGUUCAGUUUGGGGGAGGAGCUCAGCUGGUCUAUAUAGAGAGGAAGUUGGUAGGUUGUCAGAGAGGAAACCGGCAGUUGUACUCCCUGACACAAAGGGGAAGAGCAAGAAGCUGCAUGGACUGAGUAGGAAGCAGUCCAGGGAAGGAGCAGUAAGGGCUGGAAGAGUAAAAGCCCAGAGCUGCUCGGUUGAGGGUUCCUGGACUGGAAAACAGUGUAGAGAGUGGGCCUGGGUUCCCCUACCAGCUACUAAGGAAGUGGCGCAGAUCAGACAUGAGGAGCAGAUUACCUGCGACAGGUGAAAGGUCCACCGCAGCUCCCCACAGCUGCCUCGUGCCAUGAACCACCGCCCACCUCCCCCAGUCGGAGCCACACUGGGGAGAGUUGUGCUGGCAGCGGUGGGAAGCCUAAGUCCCUCCACCUGCCCUGGGUCGAAG